GGUACUGUAGAUGUCAUGUAAUUGGUACUGUAGAUGUCACGUAAUUGGUACUGUAGAUGUCACGUAAAUGGUACUGUAGAUGUCAUGUAAUUGGUACUGUAGAUGUCAUGUAAAUGGUACUGUAGAUGUCAUGUAAUUGGUACUGUAGAUGUCAUGUAAAUGGUACUGUAGAUGUCAUGUAAUUGGUACUGUAGAUGUCAUGUAAAUGGUACUGUAGAUGUCACGUAAUUGGUACUGUAGAUGUCAUGUAAAUGGUACUGUAGAUGUCAUGUAAAUGGUACUGUAGAUGUCACGUAAAUGGUACUGUAGAUGUCACGUGAAUGGUACUGUAGAUGUCACGUAAAUGGUACUGUAGAUGUCACGUAAAUGGUACUGUAGAUGUCAUGUAAAUGGUACUGUAGAUGUCAUGUAAUUGGUACUGUAGAUGUCACGUAAAUGGUACUGUAGAUGUCACGUAAAUGGUACUGUAGAUGUCACGUAAAUGGUACUGUAGAUGUCAUGUAAUUGGUACUGUAGAUGUCACGUAAUUGGUACUGUAGAUGUCACGUAAUUGGUACUGUAGAUGUCAUGUAAUUGGUACUGUAGAUGUCAUGUAAUUGGUACUGUAGAUGUCAUGUAAUUGGUACUGUAGAUGUCACGUAAUUGGUACUGUAGAUGUCAUGUAAAUGGUACUGUAGAUGUCAUGUAAUUGGUACUGUAGAUGUCAUGUAAUUGGUACUGUAGAUGUCACGUAAUUGGUACUGUAGAUGUCAUGUAAAUGGUACUGUAGAUGUCACGUAAAUGGUACUGUAGAUGUCACGUAAUUGGUACUGUAGAUGUCACGUAAAUGGUACUGUAGAUGUCAUGUAAUUGGUACUGUAGAUGUCACGUAAUUGGUACUGUAGAUGUCACGUAAUUGGUACUGUAGAUGUCACGUAAAUGGUACUGUAGAUGUCACGUAAUUGGUACUGUAGAUGUCACGUAAUUGGUACUGUAGAUGUCACGUAAAUGGUACUGUAGAU